rnacentral:snRNA from 1 species
AGCUUUGUGCAGUGGAAGUAUCGAAGCCAAUGAGGUUUAUCCAAGGCGCGAUUAUUGCUAAUUA